rnacentral:lncRNA from 1 species
UUGGAGGCGAGCUCCACGGGGUGACGUAGGACAGAUGGCGGAAGCAACUGAAGAGGAGCUGGAGCGGCGCGCGUGAAGCGGCAAGUCGGGUAAACCGCAGAUCUGGGCUCCGACCUCAGAAUUGGGCACACGAACCCUCUGCCGGAAGAGAACGGCGUCACGAGUAAAACUCAUUGCGUUGCCAUGACCUGUGGGCUUUUUCGGGCAUCCGACAUCGUUUACUAGCCCGAAAUCCAAUUCUCGCAGUUUUCGAAAACUCUGUUAUUUUCCCACUUCAAUUCCG